AACGAACGCUGGCGGCGUGCCUAACACAUGCAAGUCGUGCGAGAAAGUUCCUUCGGGAGCGAGUAAAGCGGCGCACGGGUGAGUAACACGUAGGUAACCUGCCCCCCAGUCUGGAACAACUAGAGGAAACUCUAGCUAAUGCCGGAUGAGACCACGAUCCCUUCGGGGGUUGCGGCCAAAGAUGGCCUCUACUUGUAAGCUAUCGCUGAGGGUUGGGCCUGCGGGCCAUUAGCUUGUUGGUGAGGUAACGGCUCACCAAGGCUGUGAUGGCUAGCUGGUCUGAGAGGAUGACCAGCCACACUGGGACUGAGACACGGCCCAGACUCCUACGGGAGGCAGCAGUGGGGAAUAUUGCGCAAUGGGCGAAAGCCUGACGCAGCGACGCCGCGUGGGUGAUGAAGGCC
rnacentral:rRNA from 1 species